GUCUCUGUGGUGCAAUUGGUUAGCACAUUCAGCUUGGGAAGCUGAAAGGUUGAUGUUUCAAAUCCAUCCAGAGACA